rnacentral:rRNA from 1 species
GACGAACGCUGGCGGCGUGCUUAACACAUGCGAGUCGAACGGAAAGGCCCUGCUUUUGUGGGGUGCUCGAGCGGCGAACGGGUGAGUAACACGUGAGUAACCUGCCCUUGACUUUGGGAUAACUUCAGGAAACUGGGGCUAAUACCGGAUAGGAGCUCCUGCUGCAUGGUGGGGGUUGGAAAGUUUCGGCGGUUGGGGAUGGACUCGCGGCUUAUCAGCUUGUUGGUGGGGUAGUGGCUUACCAAGGCUUUGACGGGUAGCCGGCCUGAGAGGGUGACCGGCCACAUUGGGACUGAGAUACGGCCCAGACUCCUACGGGAGGCAGCAGUGGGGAAUAUUGCACAAUGGGCGGAAGCCUGAUGCAGCAACGCCGCGUGCGGGUUGACGGCCUUCGGGUUGUAAACCGCUUUCGCCUGUGACGAAGCGUGAGUGACGGUAAUGGGUAAAGAAGCACCGGCUAACUACGUG